CCAAAAAAAAACAAAAUAGAAAAUUAAAAAAUAAAGUAAAAGAUAAAGCGAGAAGAGCUUCUGGAUUCUUCUUCUUCAAUUAAAAUUAAAAAAUUAAUUUUUUUUCAAUAUAAUUUAAUUUUUUUGGUGAAAAUGGAGAAAUUGCCGGCGACGGCGAAGACGGCGACGAAGGAGGUGGUGUAUGUGGGAUGGGAAGAGGUGUAUGUGUGUAGAGAGAAAGGGAGGAGAGAGAUUCAUUAUGUAUUGAAGAGAAAAGAUGGAGGUUCUGAUCUUGCUGUUAUUGCUAAAGAGAAGAGUUUGAGGCAUAUGACUUAUCGAUUUUUGCUUGAUUAUUCUUCGUUUGUUAAGCCUAAAUCCAAGAAGGAAGUUGUUGAUUGGUUGAAUUCGUUUACUCCAGAAUCACCGACUCCUGUCUCUCCCCAGUCUGGUGGGUCAACUUACGGAAGUGAACCUGAUGUAUUAGAUGUAGAAACAAUUAAGGCCAUCCAACUAAGGAAGCUUGGUCAUAAUACCAAAGAGUUUCAAUGGUUAGGCUCCCAAUGGACUUGCAAAAAGAAGAGGAAGCACUAUAAAGCUUUCCGUCGUAAUGGAGUUAAAUUCAUGGUUAAUCAGUUUGUCCGUGUUUUGGCUGAGGAGAACAAAAGGCUUGUAGCCUACUUGGAUGAUAUGUAUGAAGAUGUGAAAGGAAACAAGAUGGUUGUGGUACGGUGGUUUCAUAAAAUUGACGAGGUUGGUAUUGAUUUGCCUCCCAAUUUUAACGACAGAGAGAUUUUGUUUUCUCUUUGCCUUCAAGAUCUCAGUGUUGAAUGCAUUGAUGGAUUUGCCAUGGUUCUAAGUCCCCGGCACUAUGCCAAGUUUGUGUCUGAAGCCCAGCAUGCUUUGCUUCGACCAUAUAUGUGCUGUCAGCAGUAUGAGAGUGAUGAUCUCAAGCCUUUGGACAUAACUCAAGUGAAAGGUUACUGGGAGCAGGAUGCUGUCAGAUACAUAGCUUCUCUUCCUUCAGCAAGGGUUAUUGAGAAUACUUGUCUGCCUGAGCAUUCCUGGAAAAAGGAAGAUAUCAGUGCUUUCAAUGGGAGUAAACCAAGAAAGAGACUGCGUUUAUCAAGAGAGUUCAAAGAGGACAUGCAAUGUGCUACUGUAAGAGGUUCUUUGGACACUGUUCCCGCAACAGGUCAUACCAGUGCCAGCGUAGCACAGGGUUCUGGCUUCACUGUAUUUAGAAAAGAGAAUGUUGAAGUUGUAGUGCAACACACAGCUGUGGGUUCAGUGGUUGAAAUUUUGUCGCAAGAUAGUGGGAUGUUCGGUUGUUGGUUUAGAGCAACCAUCAUAAAGAAGCACAAGAACAAAGUAAAGCUUCGUUAUCAUGACAUCAAGGAUGCAGAGAAUGAAGCUAAUUGUCUUGAGGAAUGGGUAUUAGCAUCUAGAAUUGCUGUUAGUGAUGCAAUGGGCCUUCGACUUGAUGGUCGGACAACUUUAAGGCCUUCUCCGAUAAGUGAUGGCAAAGUCACGUGGGCCAUCAACGUUGGCACCAUUGUUGAUGCUUGGUGGCAUGAUGGCUGGUGGGAGGGUAUUGUUAUUAGGAAAGAAACUAAUGAGAAACUCUUAGUUUAUUUUCCAGGUGAAAAGCGAGAAGCCGUCUUCUCUCGAAGUGAUUUGAGACAUUCCCAAGAGUGGGUAAAGGGUGCUUGGAAAGAAUUAAGUGAAAGGGCAGAUAUUGCAAUGUCCAUAGUGUCUGACCUGAAAGUGGGAAGAUGUGUGAAGUAUGGCAGCGAAAAGCAUUUGCAAGCUUGUGUUUCCAAACAUCCUGAGUGUGAUAUUGGUAAAGAUGAGCAUGGGUCUCAAGAUUGUUCUAAUACUUUCCGUAUAAAUAUCAUGUACAAGAAGGAAAACAGUGCAGCUGUGACUGAUCUUUUGAAAGAUGAUUACCUUUCACACUUGAAGUGGGAGUCAUCAUGUAAGAGAAAGCGCAGCGGACUUGUUCAGAAGCCUUAUCCUCGUAGGAGCUAUGGGUUUAACCCUGAAAGAAGGCGUGACAAUCAUGAGGUGUUCCGUGUACCUUCCGCCUUGAAAGCUGAAAAAGAGCAUCGCAAGUCUGUUAAAGUUGACCGUGACAACUGCAAGUACAUAACUGAUGCUAUUUUCAGCCCAUCUGUAGUGCCGUGUUUAACCAGUCUUGUUAUGUCCAGAUAAUUUACUUUCUAUGCUUGUGAAUCCAUCUUUAACCGGGCAUUUAGGUCAUGGCAGUAUUUUCUUUUGCGUUCAUCCAUGUGAAGAUAACCAUCUCUGUUCUCCUUACUACAAAAUUGGCAGGGAACUAGUAUUGUCAUCCUAGGCAAGGGCGAGGUGACAGAGCAAAGAUGUGUAUCAACUCAUAUUUAACAAGGACCCACAGGUGUUUAAUGCCUGUGCAGCAAAGGGAGGAUGCAGAUCUGAAACUAUUUCCGUGGGCCAGUAAUUGAGCAAUAUUGGCAACAUCUUGCUACUAUAUUGAGAAUGACGAGUGGGCUUAGCUUGCUUGCUUCCAAGAGAGACCCCUGUAAUUGAACAGCUCUUUGAAGAGCAGGUGGUUAUAGAGUUGCCAUCGUGGAUCUUGAUAGGUUUGUACCAUGCUGUAGGACUUGCCGUAAACGGGAUGGUUAUCUCCUUUGAGAAUGAUCUCAUGUAUCUGAAUGCGAGCAAGCUGGUCAUUGAGGACCAUAAGAAACUUGAGCUGCAAUGGCUAGCAAUCCAAGGAGACAAGUCCCUGGAUGUCUCAGUCUUUCCUGUGUCAUCUAAGUGGGUUUUGAGCAGGGAUUCUACAAUUCUAAUGAUGUUAACAGUCAUGGACUGGUAGCUCUCGGGUGAAGAAUCUUGGGGUCUGAUAGGACCAAAGAGGACAGUAUAAUCAGGUGGUGAUUUAUAGGGCUGAGGUAAAGAAUAGUGCUGAAAAGAAAGUGCUCAUAUAUAAUUGCUUUUAUUACCUCAAUUAAAGCAUAAUUUAUGAUGCUCCAGCUUUUGCUUUACUCUUUAUAAUGGUGGAAGGGUGCGUUUCCUAUUUUGACUUUUGGGUCCCAAUUCCAUCCUUAAUGAUCAAAGAUUGUAUCGUUAUUUAUACUGUAUGAAAAUAAUUAUAAUAAAAAAAAAAAUCUCUGAUCUAUUCAUCAUUCCA